rnacentral:lncRNA from 10 species
UGACCCCUGCUGGGCUGGACUUGAGGUUCACGGCCACAUGGUUCCCUGUGCAGCGCCCCGUGGGUCCCAGCAGACACAGCACCAUAAUGGGAGACUUCUAGGCCGAGAGGGCAAAAGCUUCAAACAGCAGGCGGCAGCACCAGCUGUGUGGUGGCUGGGAGCUGGUCUAGCCUCCGCCUUCCUUCCAGAAGUCUCCCCAGCAUCCUCAACCAGGUCAGAUCCCCCAGCAUGACUCAACAUCCCUUCGACUUCCCUUCUGCAGCCCUGGCAGGAGCUGUGUUGCAGCGGUGCCUGUUGCAUGUGGAAGUCUCCCUUCAAGGUUUGCAUCAUGGAACUCACCUGGCCCAACCUCUCAGGGAGGAAAAUUCCAACCAGAGAGGGCCGCUCCUGUACUCUGGGAUGCCUUCUCCUGUCUGCCUGCCCAAAUCCUCGCUGACCUUCAAGUUCCAGCGUCGGGAAGUGCCUGGCCGCAUUUCUUAAAGGUUUUACAAGGAUAGACAUCAUUUCCUCCAAAAGAACACAGAGGGAAUGUUGAGCGCUCCCUUUCCCUACUUCUCCUUCUCAUGAUUAAGCAGGCAUUGUGGCUGUUGAGAUUAAAGCCCCAUGCGGAGAUGCAGGGCACCAGGCUAGAUGGAGCCCAGGUCCCCAGGCAGCGGUGUGGAGAAGACUCAUCAUGUUCACCUGGCCCACCUAUCCAUUUGGACUUUUCAAUAAGAAAUAAAUCAGUUUUGAGAAUGUUUCGGUUGCUGUUAUUCUGAGUCUCUUUAAGCAGCUAAAUCUGAGAUAUACCUAAUACAGCAUCCUCAUCUGUGAAAUGUGAACCAUAACCCUUGCCUCACAGGGCAGCUGUCAGGAAGGAAAGAGCUACACUUUGUCAAACACCCAGCAAGAAUCCAACAUAUGCUGAGUCCCACAUGUGUGCAAUGGGUGCUGUGUGCAUCUGGCUCUUCUCUUCAGGACCAAGGCACCAUCCCCCCAGCUGCUGGGAGGAAAGCCUGCUGAUGGCUCACAGCUGAAUCCCUCCCCAGACACUAGCCUCAGCCAAAGGGAG